GUGGAUUUAUUGUGGGACUGGUGAACGGCGAUCUACCGGGCAACGGAACUGUAAGUCAGACUUCUGUGCUCUUACUGGGAGAAGAGGAUUUUCUCCAUCGUCCGGCGUGAGCAGCAAACAGGCCUGCAACAAGUGUGAAUACAUGGCUGGUAAGGACAUGAGGAGGAAACAGUAGGAGCUGUGUGAAGCUACUAAAGGCAGUGGAUCCCUCAGCAGCUGGAUUACAAAGAGCACAGUCUCAGAUCAACACAGCCCUGCCCUCCAGCACUAUCAGCAGCAGGAGCAGCAGCAACCCCUCAACAGCAACAUUGUACCCAUCAGCUUUGAGCACCCGCCCCUAUAAACGUCUCUGCACGGCCCUGCUUUUGUUGUUUUGUUUUGUGUGUCAGUGAGGACACGAAUGAACGUCACACAGGCAGAAUGCAGUGUGAACACUGUCUCCAGGUGGAAAACAGAAGGAGUGAUACACCUCCUGCUGUCAGGCCUGCAGCGUUUCUCCCUCUGAUGUUCUUCUCUGUCUUGUGGAAAAUUUCUCUAGAUCCACCCCUGGACCUGUCCUGGACCAGCAACACCAAAUCAGUGACAAAAAGAGCUCAGCAGCGACUGCAAUUCAAGAGACGACUGAAGAAGGUCCACAUCCCCAAACCCAUCUUUAACACCUUCUACAGAGGUACCAUACAGAGCAUCCUAACCCGCUAUUUACACCUCACGCUGCACUGGGAAAGCCACAAGCAUCAUAGCCGACCCGCAUCACCUUUCCCACCAACUGUUUACCACCCCUUAAUCCAGAAGAUGACUCUGCGUCAUCAGGAGCAGGUGGGCAAGAUUGUGCAAUAGGAUUUUCCCCCAAAGCAAUCCGGCUCCUGAACACCAUGCUGCGCUCCUCCACACUGAACUCUCUUCUCCACACACUUCUUGGACUACAUAACACUCUCCUUUCACAACCAAUUCUUACACUACCCUGUAUUGUACUGAUCGACUCUGUCUGUUGUCUUUAUUUAUUCUCAUUGUUUUCUAUUCUUACUCUCUCUGUAUUCAAGUACAAUACUGUUGUACUUACUCUUAGAUUAUCUUAUUUCUGUAUAGUUGUAAGUAUGUAUGUAUAUUUGAAUUUUCCCAUUUUAUUUUUACACUUUGCACCUUUGAUCCAGGACAAUGAUAUUUCAUCGCACUGUAUACUUGAGUGCAUGUUGUUGGGUUGACAAUAAAACUCUGCUUGACUUGAAUUAAACUUGUGCAUUAGCGAAUGAGGAAAUGAGCCUCUACAGGCCUCAGACAGC
ensembl:lncRNA